AUUGAACGCUGGCGGCAGGCCUAACACAUGCAAGUAGAGCGAGCGGCGGACGGGUGUGUAAUGCUUGGGAAUUGCCCAGUCGAGGGGGAUAACAGUUGGAAACGACUGCUAAUACCGCAUACGAUUGGAUUGCCCAGGUGGGAUUAGCUAGUUGGUGAGGUAAUGGCUCACCAAGGCGACGACCCCUAGCUGGUCGGAGAGGAUGAACAGCAACACUGGAACGUAGACACGGUCCAGACUCCUACGGUAGGCAGCAGUGGGGAAUAAUGCACAAUGGGGGAAACCCUGAUGCAGGCAUGCCGCGUGAAUGAAGAAGGCCUUCGGGUUGUAAAGCACUUACAGCGAGGAGGCGUUACUCGCAGAAGAAGCACCGGCUAACUCCGUGCCAGCAGCCGCGGUAAUAC
rnacentral:rRNA from 1 species